rnacentral:lncRNA from 1 species
AUGGAAGUAAAAGAUCUGAUUAUAACCUGUGAAAAUAAGAUGCAGUCAGAACUUGACCCUAUCUACCCCCAGCUGGUGAAACGAUGUAGCCUCCUAUCCUCCCUGGAUCUCCCAGAAAUUUGGAGCAGUUUUUUUUUUCACAUGGCUGUUGAUGAGCUUGGAUUUCUUCCCCAAAAAACUGUCUAUUCAUAUCCUUUGAGCUGUUACCAAUUGGGAAAUGGCAGAGGUCCUGGUUUUCACACAAGGGAAGAGGGGGUAUACUCUACAAUAGACAUGUCGAUGAAGCUAAUUUUGGUUCCUGACAACAUUCUAGAAUAUGUUAUUGAAGCAGUUCUCAUCUAAAUAAGGAAACUGGGGUCACAUAGAGACAAAAACAGCUGAAGGGGGCACACCAAUUAGAUUUCCUUUCUUUCUCUCUUUCCCUCCCCUCUCUUUCUCUCUCUCAGCUGUUUUUGUCUCCCUUCCUCCCUCCCUCCCUCUCUCUCUCUCUCUCUCUCUCUCUCUCUCUCUCUCUCUCUCUCUCUCUCUCUCUCUCAUUUCAGAAUCAAUACUGUAUGUUGGUCCUAAGGCAGAAGAGUGGUAAGGGCCAGGCAAUGGAGGUUAACUUGCCCAGGGUCACAUAGUUAGGAAGUGUCUGAGGCCAGAUUUGAACCCAGGGUUUCUCUUUUCCAGGUCUGGCUCUCAAUUCACUGAGCCACCUAGCUGUCUCCCCCCCCCCCCCCCAUUUCCUUCCUGACUGGGUUUAUUAGUCUGCUAGAUCAGGGAACACUUUUGUCCAAACAUUUAGCAAAGUCUCUACUACUCCAACUUUGAACAAGAUAGAGAGAUUUGGUCAAGCCCUGGGAUAUUUGUGUUCCUUUGGCCAGUGUGGGAGGUCUUGGUGAGAGCGCCUUUGGGCUACAUACAGGAUAAGCUCUUCAUCCACAGGUGAAAUGCCCCUUGAUCUACCUCAAUCAGGAAAAGGCUCAGAUUUCCCCAAGGAGCUCCCACCAGACACUUCCCAGCUCAGAAGGAUAUAGAUUAUGCCCAGGUAAGUAAAGCCUGCCACUUCUACUUCCCCAGUCCUCCCGUAAGUCUCCGAUGUCUCUAGUCUCCACAGCAAGGCCCUGUGGAGGGUUUCCUAUGACUGAUCUUCUCCAGAUAUUGGGCUCACCCCCACCCCCUGGGAGAUGGAGGAGGAGCCUCUUGUGUUUUAAGUUAAGAGGCUCUGGAGUCCUGGGACACAGCAGUCCAGAACUUCACCAGUGAAGAAAGAAAUCCUGGAGUUCAGAGAAAGGACCCCCAACCUUCCCUGAGCCCUCCGACUCAUGCUGUCUCCUCUUCCCUUUACAGAUGAUACAAAACUCUGAGAACAAGAACUUGGACUCUCACUUGAAGUUGGGGGUAUCUUUGUGGAACCAGACUCCCCAGAGGUCUCCUGGGGUUCACAGUGUGCGAUUCUUACAGCCCUUAGAGACGGGACUCAGUACAGCAACUCAAGAGAGUUCUGGCUGCUCUAGCAGUCAGCUCCUCCCUGACUUGGGGCCUAGACAGAUCCAGGGACCAGGGGCCUACAUCACCCCCAGUCAGAUGAUCUCACAGCCCCCAAACCAAAGAUCAGCCUCCUAUCCUCCGAAGCGCUCAUCCAGGCCCCAUCCCAAGGCCAAGAGAAGACUCGCCUAUAACCCUUGAGAGGUCUGGUCCAGUGCUGGCUACCUUUGCCUUACUGACCUUGUGACCCUGACUUCGUCACCUCCCUUACACUCCGUUUUCUUCUCUCUAAAAAGAGAGACUUCUACUUAAUGAUCCUUGAGGUCUCGUAACUGUUCACAAUGUGUAAUCUUUGUAUUCCUACCUUUUAAAAUUGGAAAAUAAAAGGAUGUCCCCAUGGAAAAUACUGUGUGCU